rnacentral:lncRNA from 1 species
GGAGAAAAGAAUGGGAACUGUGAGGAAAAGAAUGACAUGAACAAUGGGAAGACCAAGGUCCCAGCACAAGUAGUAGAUGCUGAGGAAAGAAGAAGUAUGUUGUGGAGUAAGUGAGUGGGCCUGAGUUGAGAAGAUCCUGGCCUUGGAUUUUAAAACUGUCAGGUGACUAUGGUUGUGCUGGUCUCUGCUUUUCAUUAUGGAUAUAUGUGAGCUUUAUUUUCUAUUAAGGUACACGAAUCACCUGGAGAGGCUGGUGAAAAGUAGCUCUGAGUCACUAGAUCUGGCCUCUACCCCACCGUGUUCCCAGCGGGUGCAGAUGCUGCUGGUGCCAGGACCACACUGAAUUGCAUAAAUUCGCUAGAAUCAGAAGUCAGUUGUCCUGAUCUCAGAACAAUUUGGUGUGUACAAAGUCCAAGGUUUGAAAACUCAUCAAGAAGUCAGCAUCCUGCAAGAAUCAGCCACCCAUGCCACACUUUCUAUAGUAACUUCUGUUCUGCAUCAGACUACAUCACUCUGGCUUUCUGAAAACUGAUCACCUCUGAUGAAUUAGAACGGAAUGACCAAGCUUUGGGAGAGGCAAAAGAAUUUCGGUGUUAAAGACUCAGAGUUUAAGAAGCAACAAAAA